ensembl:lncRNA
GGAACUGAGAUCCCACUUCCAGUUGCUGCUCACUGUGGCUGCCCGACGACUACCCGAGCCCAGGGUGAAUGUGGGGAGAACCUGAUGGACAUGGUCACGGACAAUGGGAUGCACGGAGCCAGGGUUUGGGACGGAAAUCUGGGCAGGAGAUGUGAAUUUGGGAGAGUGAAAGUUGCUCAGUCCUGUCUGACUCUUUGCAAUUCCAUGGACUGUAGCCCACCAGUCUCCUCUGUUCAUGGAAUUCUUCAGAGCCUCCACGUGUUGCAGUCCAGGCAACAGUCCAUAGAGUCGCAAACAGUCGGACAUGACUGAGCCACUAAGCGUGUACACAUAGCGGAUCAACAAUGUUGCGGUCGUUUUAUAUGGACAGCGAAGAGACUCAGCCAUACGUAUACAUGGAUCCAUUCUCCCCAGACCGUCCUCCCGUCCAGGCUGGCACCCAACACGUACAGCCAAUGGAAACAGAAGGAGGCGCAUAGACUAUGGUUGCUGAGGGGGAAGGGAUAGUUAGGGGCUUUGGGAAUCUCACGCACACCCUGCUGUAUUCACAGUGGAUAACCAACAACCGCCUGCUGGCGCUGCUGGAGCAAAGUGCCAUAGAUUUCCCGAGAAAUCUGUAUGCAGCUCAAAAAGCAACAGUUAGAAAUGAGCAUGGAACAACGGACUGGUUCCAAAUUGGGAAAGGAGUACAUCAAGGCUGUAUAUUGUCACCUUGCUGAUUUAACUUAUAUGCAGAGUACAUCAUGCAAAUUCCAGACUGGAUGAAGCACACCUGGAAUCAAGAUUGCCAGGA